GUAACAUGAGAUGCUGACGGGAUGGAUUUCGUAUGUUUAAAAGAGAGAGGAAGCAGAAAUCAGUCCUUUCUAUCCUGCAGACGUUCUUGUCUGAAAUGGAGCGGAGAUGGCCCACUUGUAUGCUGUGAUCUGGUUUGCAACAUUCUGUUGCCACCGGGUGACUGCAUUCAAGUUGAGACUCUACGCUGCCUAAGGAUCUCUUUGACAUUGCGUCACAUGCUUGCAUGUUCUUUUUAUUUUAAGGAGGAGAGGAGGAGAUCCCAACUGCCAAGGGAUUCGGGCACUCGGGUCCAUUGCCCUGUCCCAGUGGAUGCUGUGUUGUUUUCAUUCUGAUGUUAGGAUGAGAGCUACGAUGUGUCUCUGGCCGGGGUUCAGUGGACCUGCAGUGGACAGCGCCAGGUCCAAAAUGACCUGCCAAUGAAGCGCCAGAAAACUAGAAGCAACCGAAAACCGAAAAGCCGACAAAACUAUCCCCCAUUACCUUUUUCCCUUGGUCGGCUUCUGGUUGUCUGUUGCUUGGUUGGCGGGUUAUGGGGAUGAUCUGCUGUAAAACAACCUGUUUUUAAUAUAAAUUGUGUGUUUUUUUUGUUUUUUUUUUACGAAGGCUGUGUGCAAAUUUUCAAAAGUAAAAAUAAUAUAUAAAAAAACAAACAAUAAAAAUGGAAAAACAUGAUGAACUGAAA